AGACCCGAAACCCGGUGAUCUAGCCAUGGGCAGGUUGAAGGUUGGGUAACACUAACUGGAGGACCGAACCGACUAAUGUUGAAAAAUUAGCGGAUGACCUGUGGCUGGGGGUGAAAGGCCAAUCAAACCGGGAGAUAGCUGGUUCUCCCCGAAAGCUAUUUAGGUAGCGCCUCGUGAAUUCAUCUCCGGGGGUAGAGCACUGUUUCGGCUAGGGGGCCAUCCCGGCUUACCAACCCGAUGCAAACUGCGAAUACCGGAGAAUGUUAUCACGGGAGACACACGGCGGGUGCUAACGUCCGUCGUGAAGAGGGAAACAACCCAGACCGCCAGCUAAGGUCCCAAAGUCAUGGUUAAGUGGGAAACGAUGUGGGAAGGCCCAGACAGCCAGGAUGUUGGCUUAGAAGCAGCCAUCAUUUAAAGAAAGCGUAAUAGCUCACUGGUCGAGUCGGCCUGCGCGGAAGAUGUAACGGGGCUAAACCAUGCACCGAAGCUGCGGCAGCGAACGUAUCACUUAAAGCGAUUCAGCGGGUUACGAUUGACGGAGCGAAGCGACGUCAAAGCGUAUACAAAGUCGAGUCGGUUUAAGGAUACGUUCGUUGGGUAGGGGAGCGUUCUGUAAGCCUGUGAAGGUGGCCUGUGAGGGUUGCUGGAGGUAUCAGAAGUGCGAAUGCUGACAUAAGUAACGAUAAAGCGGGUGAAAAGCCCGCUCGCCGGAAGACCAAGGGUUCCUGUCCAACGUUAAUCGGGGCAGGGUGAGUCGACCCCUAAGGCGAGGCCGAAAGGCGUAGUCGAUGGGAAACAGGUUAAUAUUCCUGUACUUGGUGUUACUGCGAAGGGGGGACGGAGAAGGCUAUGUUGGCCGGGCGA
rnacentral:rRNA from 1 species